CUGACCGAGACGGGAGCGGUUAAUAUGAGAUUUUGCAUUGGAAACCCUAGAAAGUUUUUUAUUUUCUUUUUGCUCUUCUAUAAACGAAAGUAACCGACGGAGGAGGCGACCGAUUCCGCCGAACGCCGAUUCCGCAAACCGAACCGCGAUAGGAGCAGAAGAAAAAAAAAGACAGACUGAAAUUUUGUCUCUUUAUUAGUAGGUAUAGAUGUGCUCAACGUGAGGG
rnacentral:lncRNA from 1 species